GGACGUCGAAGGUGGGGCUGAUGACUGGGGUGAAGUCGUAACAAGGUAUCCGUACCGGAAGGUGCGGAUGGAUCACCUCCUAACAGGGAGACAAAACAAUGAUUUUGAUGUCUGAGUAUUUCAUUCUUAGGCCGAAAUCCUGUCACCUUAGGUCGAUCGGUACCUCAACAUUUUUUCAAAGAUUGGUGAGCAAUCAUCAAGAGAUUGGAAUAGAUGUUCAGUUCCUAAACUUUGUCUAGGUCACACCCCGCAAGGGAAGAGUCCCCUGGGCCAUUAGCUCAGGUGGUUAGAGCGCACCCCUGAUAAGGGUGAGGUCCCUGGUUCAAGUCCAGGAUGGCCCAUUCGGUGUUGGGGGUUUAGCUCAGUUGGUAGAGCGCCUGCUUUGCAAGCAGGAUGUCAGGAGUUCGAGUCUCCUAACCUCCACUGACAGAACUCAAUCUCCAUUGUCCGGUAACUCGGAGGAUGAAUUCGAUGGCGUGUGAUUUAGAUGUGUCCACUAGAUAGGACCCUAGCUUCCUGUCAUUCCGAACAAGUAAUUAUUGCUUGAUUGUUUGAUAUGAUGCUGGGCUCAGAUUAAUCGAAAGAUUAAUUUGAUUUCUAGUAGAACCUUGACAACUGCAUAAGUAAGUCUGGAAAAACGAAGCAUCUUACAGAUGCAUUGUUUUAAGUCUGAAUUCUCGAAAGAGAGUUUAGAUCUAGAAUAAUGAAAAUUCUUUUAAGCAAGAGCCGAGACUCUUAGAUGUUCUUUUUAUCGUGUCGAGCGAUAAAGAGUUUGAUUUUGUUUUUAUAAGCAAUGAAAGUUGCUGAUGAAGCCAGAAGAAUCUGCUUUCAACCGCAGUAAGCGUUUAAGAGGUUAAUUGGUCAAGCUACAAAGGGCUC
rnacentral:misc_RNA from 1 species